rnacentral:lncRNA from 1 species
UUCAACACCAUAAGAUCAUCUUUAACUGCAGUCUGUAAAAACAAAAAAGAAACAAAACAUAUUUUUGAUAUGGACUACAACAAUAACAAUAAUAAAAAAAGAGUUGUAUAUGAUGAAUUGAGAGACGAAUUUACCUCAUUAAUCAAGUUGAGUCACGGAAACAUUGGCAUCAUUAGUAACAAGGCUCAAGUUGGAUAUUGCUGAACAAAAUAAACAAAAACAAUAAUUAGGAGAUAAUGAACUCAAAUUGGAGACAAUAAACAAAAACAAUAAUUAGGAGACAAUAAACAAAAACAAUAAUUAUUACCACACUCAAAUUUAUCGGCAAAGUCGAUAUCUUCCUCCACAUCAAUGCGAUUCUUCACUUUAACCCAAUCUUGAGAACAU